GAUUAACGCUGGCGGCGUGCCUAACACAUGCAAGUCGAACGAUGAAACUUUAAUGACCCCUUCGGGGAGAAUUAAAGCGGAUUAGUGGCGAACGGGUGAGUAACGCGUGAGUAACCUGCCUUACACAAGGGGAUAGCCUUUGGACACGAAGAAUAAUACCCUAUAAAACCAUAAAAGCACAUGCAAUUAUGGUAAAAGUGAUAGCGGUGUAAGAUGGACUUGCGUCUGAUUAGCUAGUUGGUGAGAUAAAAGCCCACCAAGGCAACGAUCAGUAGCCGGCUUGAGAGAGUGUACGGCCACAUUGGGACUGAGACACGGCCCAGACUCCUACGGGAGGCAGCAGUGGGGAAAUUUGCACAAUGGGGGAAACGCUGAUGCAGCGACGCCGCGUGAUUUAGAAGGCCUUCGGGUUGUAAAAAUCUUUUGUAUAGGAAGAAAAUGACAGUACUAUACGAAUAAGGUCCGGCUAAUUACGUG
rnacentral:rRNA from 1 species